rnacentral:rRNA from 1 species
GACGUAGGGGGCCAGCGUUGUUCGGAAUUACUGGGUGUAAAGGGCGCGUAGGCGGCCUGCUAAGUCGAACGUGAAAUCCCCGGGCUCAACCCGGGAACUGCGUCCGAUACUGGCAGGCUUGAAUUCGGGAGAGGGAUGUGGAAUUCCAGGUGUAGCGGUGAAAUGCGUAGAUAUCUGGAGGAACACCGGUGGCGAAGGCGGCAUCCUGGACCGAUAUUGACGCUGAUGCGCGAAAGCCAGGGGAGCAAACGGG